rnacentral:tRNA from 1 species
GAGCUAUAGCUCAGUUGGUUAGAGCGCUACGUUGACAUCGUAGAGGCCACUGGUUCGAAUCCAAUUAGCUCC